rnacentral:rRNA from 1 species
UUUAAAAAUAUUAUUUUUAAUUUUAAAUUAAAUUGAAUUAAAAAAAAUAAUUAUUUUUUAGUAAAAAUAUGAAAAAAUUAGGUUAAUUAUAGAUUAUUAGUAUUGAGAAAGAAUUAUUUUUAAAAUUUUAAAAGAAGAAAUAAUUUUGUACCUUGUGUAUCAGGGUUUAUUAAAUUAAAUUAAAAUUGUAUUUUCUCGAAUUUAAAAGAGUUAAGAUAAUAUAAUUUUAUUGUAGAAUAAAUAUUUAAAAUAUUAUUUUUGAAAUGAAACGUUAUACGUUUUUAAUAUAUCUAGUUAUUUAAGAAAAAAAUUAAAUUUUAUUAUUAUUAAUAUAUAAUUAAUUUUGUAAUGAUAUAUUAUUAAUAUUUAAUUUAUAAAGGGAUAAGCUUUUAUAAAAAUUAUUAAAAUUUUAUAUUUUUAGAAAAAAUUAUAGGAUUAGUAGUUUCUAUUAUUAGAAUAAUGUUAUAGUUGAUUUUAUUAAAUUAUUAUUUAUAUAAAUUUUAAAUAGUUUAUUAAGUUAAAAAUUAUAAUUUAAUUAAGUUUUGAAAUAAUGAUAAAAUUAGUAAAAUAUUAUAUAUAAAUAGAUAAAAAGAUAAAGGUUGAAUAAAGGAAUUCGGCAAAAGAUUUUUCACCUGUUUAUUAAAAACAUGGCUUUUUGAUAAUAAUUUAAGGUCUGACCUGCCCACUGAGGAAUUUAAAGGCCGCGGUAAAUUGACCGUGCUAAGGUAGCAUAAUCAUUAGUUUUUUAAAUGGAAGCUGGAAUGAAUGGUUGGAUGAAAAAAUGACUGUCUCUAUUUAAUUUUAAAUGAAUUUUAUUUUUAAGUAAAAAAGCUUAUAUUUAUUUAAAAGACGAGAAGACCCUAUAGAGUUUUAUAAAAUUUAAAUUUUGUAUUUUUAGGAUUAUUAUUUUAUAAUUUAAAUUUUAUUUGAUUGGGGCGAUUGAAAAAUUUAAUUAACUUUUUUUAUAAAUUUUACAUAAAUAAAUGAGAAAUUGAUCCAUAAAUAAUGAUUAAAAGAUUAAAUUACCUUAGGGAUAACAGCGUAAUUUUUAUUGAGAGUUCUAAUCGAAAUAAAAGUUUGCGACCUCGAUGUUGGAUUAAAAUUAAUUUUUGGUGUAGAAGCUAAGAAUUUUAGGUCUGUUCGACCUUUGAAAUUUUACAUGAUCUGAGUUUAAACCGGUGUGAGCCAGGUUGGUUUCUAUCUUUAAAUAGUUCAUAUAUUUUAGUACGAAAGGAUCAAAUAUAUAAUAGAUUAUUUUUUUUUGAAUAUUAAU